AAUAUUUAUAGCCUGAAGAUGAGCUCGCGUCAGAUUAGCUAGUUGGUAAGGUAACGGCUUACCAAGGCGACGAUCUGUAGCUGGUCUGAGAGGAUGAUCAGCCACACUGGGACUGAGACACGGCCCAGACUCCUACGGGAGGCAGCAGUGGGGAAUUCUCCGCAAUGGGCGAAAGCCUGACGGAGCAAUACCGCGUGAGGGAGGAAGGCUCUUGGGUUGUAAACCUCUUUUGAUCGGGAAGAAGACAGUGACGGUACCGAUCGAAUCAGCAUCGGCUAACUCCGUGCCAGCAGCCGCGGUAAUACGGAGGAUGCAAGCGUUAUCCGGAUUUAUUGGGCGUAAAGCGUCCGCAGGUGGUUGAGCAAGUCUGCUGUCAAAGCGCGGAGCUUAACUCCGUAAAGGCAGUGGAAACUGUUUAACCUUGAGUACCGGUAGGGGUAGCGGGAAUUCCCAGUGUAGCGGUGAAAUGCGUAGAUAUUGGGAAGAACACCAGCGGCGAAAGCGCGCUACUGGGCCUGUACUGACACUGAGGGACGAAAGCUAGGGGAGCGAAAGGGAUUAGAUACCCCUGUAGUCCUAGCUGUAAACGAUGGGUACUAGGUGUUGGCCGUAUCGACCCGGUCAGUGCCGUAGCUAACGCGUUA
rnacentral:rRNA from 1 species